CCAUGUACUUGUUCUUUCGGAUGACUUCUCUUUUGUGCAUGUGCAUGGGGAAUGGUUUCGUGCCCCUGAAUUCAUUCUUGUGUAUAGUCUGGCAUUUACAUUCUUGUUUCACCUUAUUUGCAGGACUUGGUCUGUGCAGCAUAAUCCCAAAUAUGAUGAGUUGAUUUUGGUCUCUCUCUCUCUCACGCACCCACACACCCCACCCCUCACCUCCCAAUACACACACAUGCAUGCAUGCAGACACCUCCUCUCUCUCUCUCUAUUUCGCGUGCACACACAAGCACACACCUACUCUCUCUCUCUCUAUUUCGCGUGCACACACAAGCACACACCUCUAUCUAUCUCACACACAUGCACACACACACACAUAGGGCCACCUAAUGGAUUCUUUGUGUACCAUUGAUGCGCCUUCAAACUUUGCAAAUACUUGAUAGAAGUUUGUUAUUUGUCUGCAG
rnacentral:lncRNA from 1 species